rnacentral:rRNA from 1 species
GAUGAACGCUGGCGGCGUGCCUAAUACAUGCAAGUCGAGCGAACAGACGAGGAGCUUGCUCCUCUGACGUUAGCGGCGGACGGGUGAGUAACACGUGGAUAACCUACCUAUAAGACUGGGCUAACUUCGGGAAACCGGAGCUCAUACCGGAUAAUAUAUUGAACCGCAUGGUUCAAUAGUGAAAGACGGUUUUGCUGUCCCUUAUAGUUGGAUCCGCGCCGCAUUAGCUAGUUGGUAAGGUAACGGCUUACCAAGGCAACGAUGAGUAGCCGACCUGAGAGGUGGAUCGGCCACACUGGAACUGAGACACGGUCCAGACUCCUACGGGAGGCAGCAGUAGGGAAUUUUCCGCAAUGGGAGAAAGCUUGACGGAGCAACGCCGCGUGAGUGAUGAAGGUCUUCGGAUCGUAAAACUCUGUUAUUAGGGAAGAACAAAUGUGUAAGUAACUAUGCAAGUCUUGACGGUACCUAAUCAGAAAGCCACGGCUAACUACGUG